AUUGAACGCUGGCGGCAGGCCUAACACAUGCAAGUCGAGCGGAUGAAGGGAGCUUGCUCCUGGAUUCAGCGGCGGACGGGUGAGUAAUGCCUAGGAAUCUGCCUGGUAGUGGGGGAUAACGUCCGGACACGGGCGCUAAUACCGCAUACGUCCUGAGUGAGAAAGUGGGGGAUCUUCGGACCUCACGCUAUCAGAUGAGCCUAGGUCGGAUUAGCUAGUUGGUUGGGUAAAGGCCUACCAAGGCGACGAUCCGUAACUGCUCUGAGAGGAUGAUCAGUCACACUGGAACUGAGACACGGUCCAGACUCCUACGGGAGGCAGCAGUGGGGAAUAUUGGACAAUGGGCGAAAGCCUGAUCCAGCCAUGCCGCGUGUGUGAAGAAGGUCUUCGGAUUGUAAAGCACUGUAAGUUGGGAGGAAGGGCAGUAAGUGAAUACCUUGCUGUUUUGACGUUACCAACAGAAUAAGCACCGGCUAACUUCGUG
rnacentral:rRNA from 1 species